rnacentral:snoRNA from 15 species
AGCACAAAUGAUGAACAAGAAAGGGACUUAAUACUGAGACCUGAUGUUACAUUGUGAUACUGAUGAGC